UAAUAAGUGUUUUAUGGCACUUUUUAAAUCCAUAUCCACCUUGUGUGCAAUGUCAGUCGAUCUUCUUCAUAGAGAUCGACCAAACAUCAAACCUUUAUCUUUUAACUCUUUGUCUGAAAAAUAUUAUGAAUAAACAAUUCAAAAUA
rnacentral:misc_RNA from 1 species